CUAGCCCUAAACGAUGUAGACUAGGCGUCGGUGGUUUAAUCACCAUCGGUGUCCAAGCAAACGCGAUAAGUCUACCGCCUGGGGACUACGGCCGCAAGGUUAAAACUCAAAGGAAUUGACGGGUCCCCGCACAAGCAGCGGAGCGUGUGGUUUAAUUCGUUGCUACACGAAGAACCUUACCUGGGUUUGACAUAGCAGUGGUAGGGAAGCGAAAGCGGACCGACCCUUCGGGGAGCUGUUACAGGUGU
rnacentral:rRNA from 1 species